CACGUAGGGCGCGAGCGUUGUCCGGAAUUAUUGGGCGUAAAGAGCUCGUAGGCGGCCUGUUGCGUCCGCUGUGAAAGCCCCGGGGCUUAACCCCGGGUCUGCAGUGGAUACGGGCAGACUAGAGUUCGGUAGGGGAGUCUGGAAUUCCUGGUGUAGCGGUGAAAUGCGCAGAUAUCAGGAGGAACACCGGUGGCGAAGGCGGGUCUCUGGGCCGUAACUGACGCUGAGGAGCGAAAGCAUGGGGAGCGAACAGG
rnacentral:rRNA from 1 species